UACAACAUAGUGUUAAUGCACCAGAUCCCAUUUGAAAUCCGCAGUUAAGGAUGCUUAGGCUAGAAUAGUACUGGGAUGGGUGACUGCCUUGGAAGUCCCAGUGUUUUUU
rnacentral:rRNA from 1 species